GCCCCCAUCGACUAAGGGAUAGGUCACCACUCUUUCAAGGUGGUAGUGGCGGUUCGAAUCCGCCUGGGGGCA
rnacentral:tRNA from 1 species